AGCAGCCGCGGUAAUUCCAGCUCCAAUAGCGUAUAUUAAAGUUGUUGCAGUUAAAAAGCUCGUAGUUGAAUUUCGGGAUCAAAGGAUCGGUCAUGCCUUGGUAUGUACUGGUUUUAUUGGUUCUCACCUUCUAAAGAACCAUAAUGUCAUUCAUUUGAUGUUAUGGGGAAUUAGGACUGUUACCUUGAAAAAAUUAGAGUGUUUAAAGCAGGCUUACGCUUGAAUACAUUAGCAUGGAAUAAUGAAAUAGGACAUCAGAUUCUAUUUUGUUGGUUUCUAGGAUCGAUGUAAUGAUUAAUAGGGAUAGUUGGGGGCAUUAGUAUUCAAUUGUCAGAGGUGAAAUUCUUGGAUUUAUUGAAGACUAACUACUGCGAAAGCAUUUGCCAAGGAUGUUUUCAUUAAUCAAGAACGAAAGUUAGGGGAUCGAAGACGAUCAGAUACCGUCGUAGUCUUAACCAUAAACUAUGCCGACUGGGGAUCGGAUGAUGUUAAUUUUAUAAUGACUC
rnacentral:rRNA from 1 species